rnacentral:miRNA from 1 species
AAGUGUGCAGGGCACUGAU